rnacentral:rRNA from 1 species
AGAGUUUGAUCAUGGCUCAGGAUGAACGCUGGCGGCGUGCCUAAUACAUGCAAGUCGAACGCACUGACGGAGAACUUGUUCUCUUGACGUGAGAGGCGCACGGGUGAGUAACACGUGGGGAACCUACCCUUCAGCGGGGGAUAACCAUCGGAAACGAUGACUAAUACCGCAUAGACGACAGAACCGCCUGGUUCAAUCGGGAAAGACGACUUCGGCUGUCACUGAAGGAUGGUCCCGCGCUGCAUUAGCUAGUUGGUAAGGUAACGGCUUACCAAGGCGAUGAUGCAUAGCCGACCUGAGAGGGUGAUUGGCCACAUUGGGACUGAGACACGGCCCAAACUCCUACGGGAGGCAGCAGUAGGGAAUCUUCCGCAAUGGACGCAAGUCUGACGGAGCAACGCCGCGUGUGUGAAGAAGGUUUUCGGAUCGUAAAGCACUGUUAUUAGUGAAGAACAGCCGAUAGAGUAACUGUUAUCGGUUUGACGGUAUCUAACCAGAAAGUGACGGCUAACUACGUGCCAGCAGCCGCGGUAAUACGUAGGUCACAAGCGUUGUCCGGAUUUAUUGGGCGUAAAGGGAGCGCAGGCGGUUUGUUAAGUCUGAUGUGAAAGCCCACGGCUCAACCGUGGAACGGCAUUGGAAACUGGCAAACUUGAGUAUAGAAGAGGAAAGUGGAAUCCCAUGUGUAGCGGUGAAAUGCGUAGAUAUAUGGAGGAACACCAGUGGCGAAGGCGACUUUCUGGUCUAUAACUGACGCUGAGGCUCGAAAGCGUGGGGAGCGAACAGGAUUAGAUACCCUGGUAGUCC